rnacentral:lncRNA from 1 species
CUGGGUGGAACACCCCAAUAUAUUGAAGAAGAAGAGGUUACAUGUUCCUAAAUCUAUAGUUAGGAAGAAACAACCUAUUCCUAUUGAACUCAAUCAAAAGGAAACUAGGCAAAGCAUCCCACCAAGUAUACAUUCUAGAACAAAUUGCAAAAGAAGCUAAUUUAUCAGCACAAGUGUUCCCUUCCUUAUAUAUGGGAUUAUUAUAACUUAUAUCUAAUGGAUUAUUAUUACUUAAUUUUCACCCUUCUUCGUCGUAGGAGUAAUUUUCAUCAUGAAUGCUGACGAAGUCUUCCUAUCAUUUUUUGUAGCCUUUGUGCUAUCAUGGCUUUCUAGCUCUGCAUUAUAUUUUUUUACCAGAAUCACAAUCAAACACAUGUCAAAAAAUUAAUAAUUAAAAUAUAAAUUUAAAGUGAAAGGAAAACUUCAUAUUCUGUGAAAACUUGGGAAGUAUUAAAGAUAAAAUCCAUCAAUAAUGAGUUUCAUCCUAAACAUCAAUCUACUUAAUUAAUUUGAGGGAAGGAUGAUAGAACCAUAAUUGUUAAACUUAACUCGGAUGGACUAAUUCAACCUGCGCAACCGAUAAAUGGGUACCAGAUCGGUCCAAGUUGUUUAUCUGAUCGACCAUGUAUAGAAAUCGAUAUGAACCAGUUCAGCUUUAUUGGUUUAAGCAUAAAACUAGCGACUAUACUAAUUGUACCAGUUGAUUCCAGUAGUUCAAUCAUUUUAAAAAAAAUGUCAAAACUUUUGAGAUGAAAAAUCUUUACUUUCAACUUAUUUGUAAUUAUGUUUAAUUUAUCAUUAUUUAGUUAUGUUUGUUACUUAUUACCUUAUGUUAUAACAACAUAUUAGUUUUUUAAUUGUUUUAAAUUUAUUUAUUUGAUCCUGUUGUGAUUAAAAUGUAAAACCUAUGUUGUUUGAUGAUAUUUUCAACUUAUUUGUGAAAACUUGUUGUAUUGAAACCUUCAUUGUUUGUUGUUUAAUUGUGCACUUCUACAAUAAUAAUGUUUUUAUAUUUAUAUAUAAUAAUGUUUUUAUAUUUGAUAUAUAAAUUUACUAAAUAAUGUUAAUUGAUAUUAUAAUUUUUAAUUUUUUUUAAUUUAAACCGAAUAAAUCAGUCUAACCAAUAAUCAAAUAGUCCGACCAAUAAUUCAUUAACCAAGUAUUCUAACUAAGUAAAUAAUCGGUCUGAUUUUAAAUAAUAGCCAUAUAAAGUUUUAAUUAUAGUUUGGGGAUUCAACACAUAAGUUUCAAAUUCUAAUAUAUCUCACCGAUUGCGACGAAACAUUGAUGGGUUUUGUUGAAUUGAUUGAGCAUUCGCAUCCCUAGGAUCCUUGUCAUCAAUUGGACCAUUUUUAUGAUAAUAACCACAAUAAUAAUUCUUAUUUUCAUCUAUUUCAUGAUCUAAGAAACAUAUAAAAAAUGUGUUAGAUAACUAUAUGAUAAAAUCUGCAAUAGAUAAAAACAAUGUUUGCUCAAAC